GACGAACGCUGGCGGCGUGCUUAACACAUGCAAGUCGAGCGGAGCGGCGAACGGGUGAGUAACGCGUGAGUAACUGCCCCCCUCUCUGGGAUAACAGUUGGAAACGGCUGCUAAUACCGGAUAGUGGGGGAUGACUCGCGUCCUAUCAGCUUGUUGGUGGGGUAGUGGCCUACCAUGGCGACGACGGGUAGCCGGCCUGAGAGGGCGACCGGCCACAUGGGGCGAAGAUAGGGCACAAGCGCCUAGGGGGAGCAGCGGGGGGGAAUAUUGCACAAUGGGGGAAACCCUGAUGCGGCAACGCGGGGGCGGGAUGACUGCCUUCGGGGUGUAAACCGCUUUCAGCCAUGAAGCGGUAGUGGCAGAAGAAGCACCGGCUAACUACGUGCCAGCAGCCGCGGUAAUAC
rnacentral:rRNA from 1 species